rnacentral:rRNA from 1 species
CAAAAACAUGUCUUUUUGAUUUUAAUUUAAAGUCUGACCUGCCCAAUGAUUAUUUUAAUGGCCGCAGUAUUUUGACUGUGCAAAGGUAGCAUAAUCAUUAGUUUUUUAAUUGAAAGCUGGAAUGAAUGGUUUGAUGAAAAAAUAACUGUCUCUUGAUAAAUUUUAUAGAAUUUUAAUUUUGAGUUAAAAAGCUUAAAUGCUUUAUGAAGACGAGAAGACCCUAUAGAGUUUUAUAUUUUACUGUUUUGAUUUUAGUUGGAUUUUAUUGGAAUUUAAAUUUUGAAAUAUUUUGUCGGGGUGAUGUAAAAAUUUAAGAAACUUUUUAUUAUUUAAACACUGAUUGGUGAAUUGUUGAUCCUAAUUUUUAGAUUAUAAGAUUAAAUUACCUUAGGGAUAACAGCGUAAUUUUUUUAAAGAGUUCUUAUUGAUAAAAAAGUUUGCGACCUCGAUGUUGGAUUAAAGUUUAAUUUUGGUGAAGAAGCUAGGAAUUUAGGUCUGUUCGACCUUUAAAACUUUACAUGAUCU